GGCCAGAUGGCCGAGCAGUUAUGGCGCUGUGUUCAGGUUAUUAUACAUAUAAUGUAUGAAUCUGCAACUUCGCAGUGGAGAAAUCCGCGUGGGUGCAAAUCCCACUCUGGUCA